rnacentral:rRNA from 1 species
GAUGAACGCUGGCGGCGUGCCUAAUACAUGCAAGUCGAGCGAACGGACGAGAAGGUUGCUUUUCUGAUGUUAGCGGCGGACGGGUGAGUAACACGUGGAUAACCUACCUAUAAGACUGGGAUAACUUCGGGAAACCGGAGCUAAUACCGGAUAAUAUUUUGAACCGCAUGGUUCAAAAGUGAAAGACGGUCUUGCUGUCACUUAUAGAUGGAUCCGCGCUGCAUUAGCUAGUUGGUAAGGUAACGGCUUACCAAGGCAACGAUGCAUAGCCGACCUGAGAGGGUGAUCGGCCACACUGGAACUGAGACACGGUCCAGACUCCUACGGGAGGCAGCAGUAGGGAAUCUUCCGCAAUGGGCGAAAGCCUGACGGAGCAACGCCGCGUGAGUGAUGAAGGUCUUCGGAUCGUAAAACUCUGUUAGUAGGGAAGAACAUAUGUGUAAGUAACUGUGCACAUCUUGACGGUACCUAAUCAGAAAGCCACGGCUAACUACGUG